CGCGUAGGUGGUUCAGUAAGAUGGGUGUGAAAUCCCCGGGCUCAACCUGGGAACUGCUUUCAUAACUGCUGAACUAGAGUACGGUAGAGGGUAGUGGAAUUUCCUGUGUAGCGGUGAAAUGCGUAGAUAUAGGAAGGAACACCAGUGGCGAAGGCGACUACCUGGACUGAUACUGACACUGAGGUGCGAAAGCGUGGGGAGCAAACA
rnacentral:rRNA from 1 species